UAUGGCACACAGAUUAUUUCUGUACAGUCUGGCACACAGUCCGUUUGCUAGCUACAGGUACAGCGGCUAUUUUUUCCAGUGAAGAAGAAAAGUUUUUGUGUGUGAUAAGUUCGCUCCCAGAGAUGGAGAGAGUGAGGACAGGAGAGGAAGAUGAGAGAUUGUUUCAGAGCGGAUUGAAGAAGAACAGGCCUGAUUGUCUCGCCUGAGAGAAGGCGGAGGACGGCGAGAGAUCAGACCACACAUACAGAUCCAGGCCUCCACCCUCCACCCCCAGCCUCCAGUUCCCCCGCCAUCUGUGCACGUCCCUCUGCCUGCAACUCCACAACAACAAGGCCCUGAACCUCCGCCGAGGAGUCAAUCCAUCACUGGAGAAAGAGAGAAAAAGACAGAGAAAGGAAGUGGAAGGAAGUGGAAGGAGAGAAAGGAUGGGUGGCGGUGGAGGGGGUUGCAGGAAAAAGGAGAGCCCUGCUGUCUGGCUCGCUGGCGUGCUGCCUUCCUGGCUCAUCACUGCUGUUCGGACAGACAGACAAUGAUGAUGACAGUCAUCAGGGAUGUAGCAGCCUUCCGCCUGUCCAUCCGACAGUAAGAGCGAGAGGAGCAGGUGCAGAAAAUCGAGAACAAAGAG